GUGUGUGUGUGUUUUUUUUUUUUUUUUUACGUAUUCCUUAAUUAGGAUGCUAAACAAGGCCGUAUUGCAUUUUUUACGUAUUCCUUAAUUAGGAAAUUGGGGCUUUCUGGAAAGAGUGAAACGAUUUCAAGAAUUGAAGGGGAAGAACAAACCUCAUUGGAUGCUUGUGCUUGGUUUCACACAAUUGCAAUUCGACGCCAUUUUUUAAGGUUCUGCCUUUAGCUUGUGAUCGAUUUUCCCCUUUCUUAAUUCUGUUUUUAUCAGAUUUGAUUGAAAUAAGAUUGUGGAAGAACAGUUAUGACGAAAGGUCUUUCAUGACUGACCGAAUUUUUUGGGCAAUUCAUGGAGAUUCUUGUUUGCGAUUAGAUUUGCUACUUUCAUCUAACUUUUCGAUUUGGGUAAUUUAGGGCAUAACCCUUCUUGUGUUGAAUCAUUUCUGCCUUCAUUUUUUUAAGAAAAGUUUGAAAUUGAUUGAAGGAUUUACCAAAAGACAUAUCCUUGUUAAGAGAAAUCUAACUGGUAUUUGUUUGUUAUUUUAAGGACGAGUACUAGUAUUUGAAGAAUAUACUGCCUAAUACUAAUCGAGCACAUAGAUUUUUUGGUUUUAUUAUCGUGGAGGGGCUGUAAUGGGGAAGAAAAGGAAAAAUGGUUGGUUUUGCUGCCUUUUGGUUUGAUACUAAUCAAGCACAUAGAUUUUAAGGGGAGUGCAACUGGAGGACUUUUGAUGGGGUGGAGGAGCUAGUGUCCUUGAAAUUGCAUAGUUGAAUUUUUUCUUGUUCAUGUAGUAUGUUCUUGGGUGUUGACGUGGUGUUCAUUUGUCCUUGAACCAAUUGUCAGACUUCUUUAAGAGUCUUUAGAGUAAAGAACAAAUAUGUGCUAGUAAAGGCAUUAAAAAAUGUCCUAGUUUAUGUUAUUGAAGUUUAAUUUCCUUUGAACGGGUUUUGGUUUAAUUUGUUUUGUAAUCCAUGUGCAUGAGAAACAGAGAACGCAUUUUUGUCCUUUUCUUUGGUGUUUUUUUGGUCCUCUUUUAGUUUGUUUUUUGACCAUCCAUUGUUUGACAAUCCAUGUGCGUGAGAAGAGUACUCACAUCUCACCCACAUUCCCCAACAUCAAACCGUCAUUUCUUGCCAAAAGUUCAUACAAUAUGCUUGUAUGAACUCUUCAGGUUCCUCCCUCUCUUUCUCAAACAAGUACAUUGUUUGUUUGUUAGCAUGUGUAUUGAUUGUUUCUUUUGGCAUUUAAGGUUUGGCAUGGUCGGUGGACAAGAAGAGAUUGAAGGAUUGCUUUAGAUUCUUGAGGGGAUGUCACUAAAGCAACUGAUGCAGCCACUCAUCUUCCAUGGUCUCCGGCAGAUUGUCCAUGAAUAACGUGAACAUCAAUUCAAGGAAUAAAGUUAAAGAACUUGAGGUGUUUUCAAAAUCUACAACGCAGAUGGAGAAAGAUAGAACUCAGCUACAAGAGCUUUUUAGAUUCUCAGUUUGGAGUUUUUCAGGUUUGCAUCAGCUGUCACUUUUGUUAUUUAAUAAUGCCUCUUUGCUUAGUUUGUGACUAGAAGUCAUUCCACUGAACUUCUUAGGAUCUAAGGGUGGCCUCUUGAAUCAUAAAGCGAAAAGUUUUGAAGACACAAAAGGUCUACUCUGAAGAAUUUAAUCACUUUUAGCCUCUAACAUGGACAGGGGUGAAGCUUAAGGGACUAAUUGAUGCUGCUGAGAAUUACCAUAAUGUCCUGGCUGAAAAUAGGAAGCUGUAUAAUGAGGAGCUGGAUUUGAAAGGGACAGCGUUUUAACGGAGUAUCGCGCAGAAUGUUGGUUGUUGACCAUGAAGAUCAAAGUUGGAUUUUGGUUAUGGACGUGCUUGGAACAUGUGCUUGGACGUGCUUGUAUUUUGCGGUCCACGGGGUUUGGAUAUAUUUUGUCACUAAGCUUGGAUUUUUUUGAUUUUCCCCCAGUGGUAGACGUGUUGUUAUUUUGCUCUCUAGGAAUUUGGAUACAAGUUGUUUUUUAACUAUUUGGUGGACACCUCUAUUUAUGAAAGUUUAUAUUUAUUUCUUGGAAUUUUUAUUUUGUAUUAAUUGCAUUAGGUUGGCAAUUUUGUGGAUGUAAUAAUUGUUGGUUGAAAUUU